rnacentral:rRNA from 1 species
CCUACGGGAGGCUGCAGUGAGGAAUAUUGGUCAAUGGGCGCGAGCCUGAACCAGCCAAGUCGCGUGAGGGAAGACGGUCCUAUGGAUUGUAAACCUCUUUUGUCGGGGAGCAAAAUACGCCACGCGUGGCUUUCCGUGAGUACCCGAAGAAAAAGCAUCGGCUAACUCCGUGCCAGCAGCCGCGGUAAUACGGAGGAUGCGAGCGUUAUCCGGAUUUAUUGGGUUUAAAGGGUGCGCAGGAGGAAUUUCAAGUCAGUUGUAAAAUUUUGAGGCUCAACCGUUACAUGGCAUUUGAUACUGGUUGCCUUGAGUAAAGUAGAGGUAGGCGGAAGGCGUGGGGUAGCGGUGAAAUGCAUAGAGAUCACGAAGAACUCCGAUUGCGAAGGAAGCCUACGAAACUGCCACUGACAUUGAUGCACGAAAGUGGGGGUAUCAAACAGGAUUAGAUACCUUGGUAGUC